rnacentral:rRNA from 1 species
GUGGAUUAAUUCGAUGCAACGACCGAAAACCUUACCUACCCUUGACAUGUCCGGAAUCCGAAGAGAUUUGGAGUGCUCGCAAGAGAGCCGGAACACAGGUGCUGCAUGGCUGUCGUCAGCUCGUGUCGUGAGAUGUUGGGUUAAGUCCCGCAACGAGCGCAACCCUUGUCAUUAGUUGCCAUCAUUUGGUUGGGCACUCUAAUGAGACUGCCGGUGACAAACCGGAGGAAGGUGGGGAUGACGUCAAGUCCUCAUGGCCCUUAUGGGUAGGGCUUCACACGUCAUACAAUGGUCGGUACAGAGGGUUGCCAACCCGCGAGGGGGAGCUAAUCCCACAAAGCCGAUCGUAGUCCGGAUCGCAGUCUGCAACUCGACUGCGUGAAGUCGGAAUCGCUAGUAAUCGUGGAUCAGCAUGUCACGGUGAAUACGUUCCCGGGUCUU